UAAGCACAUGCACUCCUAGGAUGAGGCCUUU
rnacentral:piRNA from 1 species